rnacentral:rRNA from 1 species
AUUGAACGCUGGCGGCAGGCCUAACACAUGCAAGUCGAACGGUAACAGGAAGAAGCUUGCUUCUUUGCUGACGAGUGGCGGACGGGUGAGUAAUGUCUGGGAAACUGCCUGAUGGAGGGGGAUAACUACUGGAAACGGUAGCUAAUACCGCAUAACGUCGCAAGACCAAAAAGGGGGACCUUCGGGCCUCUUGCCAUCGGAUGUGCCCAGAUGGGAUUAGCUAGUAGGUGGGGUAACGGCUCACCUAGGCGACGAUCCCUAGCUGGUCUGAGAGGAUGACCAGCCACCCUGGAACUGAGCCACGGUCCAGACUCCUACGGGAGGCAGCAGUGGGGAAUAUUGCACAAUGGGCGCAAGCCUGAUGCAGCCAUGCCGCGUGUAUGAAGAAGGCCUUCGGGUUGUAAAGUACUUUCAGCGGGGAGGAAGGGAGUAAAGUUAAUACCUUUGCUCAUUGACGUUACCCGCAGAAGAAGCACCGGCUAACUCCGUG